rnacentral:rRNA from 1 species
AGGGUGUAAACGCUGCAGACUUGGUGUUGGAAGCCCUUUGGGGGCAUUCAGUGCCGGAGAGAAGUUGUUAAGUCUGCUACUUGGGGGAGUACGUCCGCAAGGAUGAAACUUAAAGGAAUUGGCGGGGGAGCACCGCAACGGGAGGAGCGUGCGGUUUAAUUGGAUUCAACACCGUAAAACUCACCAGGGAAGACUGUUACAUGAAGGCCGAGAUGAAGACUCUGCUAGAUUUUCAGAGAGGUGGUGCAUGGCGUCAGUGACU